UCACCAAACUCUGCAGCUUGCAAAUUUCUUAAUUUGGACUUGUCUCCAGUCAUAUGUCUUGAGCAUCCACUAUCAAGAUACCAUUUGUUUUUAUUCAUAUCAGCUGCAAAAUAUAUCUGCAAUAUAUGUACUACUUUUACAAGUUGGUACCCUUUAAAUGGAAGGGUCCUUAAAGUGAGUUUUCCAUUUUGUAUAAGGAGCAUUUGAAGUUUCCUUUACAAAACUCGACAUAGGAUAAUCAAUCUUAGUAGAAAGAAGCAUUCUAUGAGUAACUGGAUUGUGAGAAGUAUGAUAAUGUUGUUUGUGAAAUUCUCUUCUUGUGAUGGUUGGUGCAGUAUAUGUUCCUUUGGAAACCCAAAUCAUUUUUCCUUUAUAGUUUCUAUUUCUAGCAUUGCACAUAUAAAAAGAGUGACCAUUUCUGUUACAAUAGGAACAUUUUGUGAAUGGA
rnacentral:lncRNA from 1 species